rnacentral:rRNA from 1 species
UACGUAGGGGGCAAGCGUUGUCCGGAUUUAUUGGGCGUAAAGAGCGUGUAGGCGGCCAGGUAGGUCUGCUGUGAAAACUCGAGGCUCAACCUCGAGACGUCGGUUGAAACCGUACGGCUAGAGUCCGGAAGAGGAGAGUGGAAUUCCCGGUGUAGCGGUGAAAUGCGCAGAUAUCGGGAAGAACACCCGUGGCGAAGGCGGCUCUCUGGGACGGUACUGACGCUGAGACGCGAAAGCGUGGGGAGCGAACAGG